rnacentral:rRNA from 1 species
UACGGAGGGGCUAGCGUUAUCCGGAAUUACUGGGCGUAAAGGGUGCGUAGGUGGUUUCUUAAGUCAGAGGUGAAAGGCUACGGCUCAACCGUAGUAAGCCUUUGAAACUGGGAAACUUGAGUGCAGGAGAGGAGAGUGGAAUUCCUAGUGUAGCGGUGAAAUGCGUAGAUAUUAGGAGGAACACCAGUUGCGAAGGCGGCUCUCUGGACUGUAACUGACACUGAGGCACGAAAGCGUGGGGAGCAAACAGGAUUAGAUACCCCUGUAGUCCCUGAG